rnacentral:lncRNA from 1 species
CUUCCAUCCUGGGUUGCAUUUGCCUUCACAGAGGGUCCAGCAUGGUUUGAGCAUUCAUUCAUUUGAUCCUUCAUUUAAUACACACACACACACACACACACACACACACUGAAUGGCUCAGUAAUAGUGCCAGAGGAGUUGGAACAAAGUCUCUGAGCUCAGGAUUCAGGCAGGAGCUUCAAGAAAAGAGAAGAGGGAGAAAGGCCUUCCAGCAGAGGCAAGAACAUACAAAAGACAGAGACUAGACAUCUUAGUAUGUCUUAGUAUGACUCUGUGGAAAAACUCCUGGAAGGAAACACAUGAAUAUGUCCGUGGGGUUUUAUCUUGGAGAGUGAGAUUACAGAUGCUUUUCACUUUCUUCUUCCUUUUUCUCUGGUUUUAAUUUUUCUCCAAUUAACAUGCAGUGAGGUUGUAAAGCAAUUUCUAUUAGCAGUAAGUGCGAUGUUCACUGGAAAACACAAAAAUGAUAUGGUUUUCAAAAACUGUUGAAAGUUGUUGCUGAGAUGUAUUUUUGAGCUGCCCAUAGGGGAGUAAAAGCUCUGUCAAGUUUUAUUCUGUAAAUGAAACUGGGAGAAGGAAAUAGAACUUGGCUGCCUGGAUUCUAACCUUGAUCUGGUCAGGCCAUUAAUUCUCCUCAGGUCAAGGAUGCUACAGAGCUGUGGUGUUCUAGCUCAGUGGUGCAUCACAAGGAAGCAUCUUUACCCACCAACUUGCUUAAACUCUC